rnacentral:rRNA from 1 species
GGACGCCAGUCUGCAUGGAGCCGACCUUGAAAUACCACCCUUUAAUGUUUGAUGUUCUAACGUGGACCCGUAAUCCGGGUUGCGGACAGUGUCUGGUGGGUAGUUUGACUGGGGCGGUCUCCUCCUAAAGAGUAACGGAGGAGCACGAAGGUUGGCUAAUCCUGGUCGGACAUCAGGAGGUUAGUGCAAUGGCAUAAGCCAGCUUGACUGCGAGCGUGACGGCGCGAGCAGGUGCGAAAGCAGGUCAUAGUGAUCCGGUGGUUCUGAAUGGAAGGGCCAUCGCUCAACGGAUAAAAGGUACUCCGGGGAUAACAGGCUGAUACCGCCCAAGAGUUCAUAUCGACGGCGGUGUUUGGCACCUCGAUGUCGGCUCAUCACAUCCUGGGGCUGAAGUAGGUCCCAAGGGUAUGGCUGUUCGCCAUUUAAAGUGGUACGCGAGCUGGGUUUAGAACGUCGUGAGACAGUUCGGUCCCUAUCUGCCGUGGGCGCUGGAGAACUGAGGGGGGCUGCUCCUAGUACGAGAGGACCGGAGUGGACGCAUCACUGGUGUUCGGGUUGUCAUGCCAAUGGCACUGCCCGGUAGCUAAAUGCGGAAGAGAUAAGUGCUGAAAGCAUCUAAGCACGAAACUUGCCCCGAGAUGAGUUCUCCCUGAGACUUAGAGUCUCCUGAAGGAACGUUGA